CAGACAAUAUUGACAUUACUAAUUUCGCGAGCACUGGGGAAUAAAUUAAAAAAUACAAAAUUAAUCCUGGGUACACAAUACUUGAUUAUCGAUAUAUUUACUGGAAUGCAGCAUAAGUUCAGCGAUACUGAGUACACAGGUCAUUGCCAUCGUGAGAAAUCCGCAGAGUCUACGACCCCAUCGGUCGAGCAACAGGGCGAGUAAUAACCCAGCUGGAAGUUCUGUGGCACAGGCGAUCGAGAACGACACGAACACCGAGCUCUGGAUAAGUUUUAAUGAAUACACGUGACCGUCGAACGAGAUCAGGGUGAAACACCUACAAGAUUGUAUCGGUUAUUUAUGAAGGUUUUCUCGCAACAUGAACUCGUAUCUUAUACUUGCCAGAAUGCAACUAGAAGAAUAGUGUUUCUCGCCAACCGUGGCGUUUUGAACAGAUCGAGCAGCGUCGCUGAUUCUUGAAUUUUGUCCGGUGCCUCCAUGUUACUCUGCAAGAAUUUAUUUCGAGAAUAAUUAACGAAAGAUAUAAUACGAGUCGUGCCUUUAGCCCUUACACAGUUCAAAAUUCAUAACACACUGAAAAGAAAUUUUAUUUUCAUUUUAUUCGUCAUUAAUAGAUAGCACGAACAGUGGCACUUUGCAUUCUGUUUUAUGGAAUUAGUCGGCAUGGCUUUUGAUAUCGAGAUUUAUUAAUAUAAUGGGUGGUUGGUUGAUUAAAUACUUUUCUGAUCCGAAAUACAGUCGGGAACAAAACUAAGUGGAUUAGUGGAGAAAAUGUAAAAAUUCAUUUCAAUCAUUUGCUGAACUAUCUGCAUAUUAUUAGAAGGAAAUAUAAUAAAUAAAACUCAAGUAUAUGAGGCUGAUACUAAUUUGAUUAUACUUUCUUCACAUCUAUUUCCAUUAACUAUAGCAGCUUAUUUUUAUCCCCGAUUGUACUUGUAAAUUGUAAAUAUUUUAUAAUUUCUAUAUAAAUUCCCAGAUUUACUUCAAAUUUUGUACGAGAUCGAUAUAAUACCACAAUGGAAUCGCGACAGUCAAGUUUCAUUUCAUAUUUCAUUUUUCAUCGCGUUUCAUUUUUAAAACCUGUCUAUGCAUGUUAAAAUACAUUCGCGAGUCUGUGUGUUUUCGACGUGAAUCAAAUAUAUCUGUCAGCACAGAUUCAAGCACUGUACCGUAUGAUUUCGCGUAAGCUUUCUAGAAUUCUAUUUGAUCGAACUUACGACGAAUAUAUUGCAAAUACGCGAGUCUGGAUUUCUGCGAUUGAUCCUAGCUGUUCUCCGUAGUUUCUCAACAACCUUGUCCAUCAUCCCGUUGGAAACGUACCAGCUUGAACAGAGCAAAUACGAGUGAUAUGGAUCGAUAAGUAAAUUUGCAUAAAUCUCAAAGCGCAAGUUGAGAAUUCGAAUAAUCGAACGAUUAGGAGUUUACUUACCGGGCGCUCUCGGGAAGAAUCCACGGUGUGAUAGCGACAGAUAACAGCGGUAUGGCAGUAACUAAUAGAACAUGGAAGAUUUAUCGAGUGAAACCGGUUAUUAUUAAUAUGGAGCAAUUGAUGACGAGCCGAAUGAACGAUACCAUCAACAUAAUUGUAGGAUAAUUGUAAGAUUAUAAAUAUAAUUCCGAUUUUAAAUUAA